rnacentral:lncRNA from 1 species
CAUAAGCGCCCUCUUAGGCCCCCUUUAGAGGGCGCUUUUUUUCCACAAGCGCCCUCUAAUGUCCCCUUUAGUAAACAUUAAAAUUAUAACAUACUGCGCGUUUUGUUAUUUCACUAUCUGUUAUUUUCGUUCUUUUUCACGUUAGGGUUCUAAGGCGUUUUCCUUCCACCUCUGUUAGAUCUACAUUAUUACUGCGCGUUUCCUCCUUCUACCAAUCAAAGGUACACGCUUUUCCCAAUUUCUGUUUUAUGUUAUUGCUUUGUUUUAG